UACGGGGGGGGCAAGCGUUGUUCGGAAUUACUGGGCGUAAAGGGCUCGUAGGUGGCCAACUAAGUCGGACGUGAAAUCCCUCAGCUUAACCGGGGAACUGCGUCUGAUACUGGAUGGCUUGAGUUUGGGAGAGGGAUGCGGAAUUCCAGGUGUAGCGGUGAAAUGCGUAGAUAUCUGGAGGAACACCGGUGGCGAAGGCGGCAUCCUGGACCAACACUGACGCUGAGGAGCGAAAGCCAGGGGAGCAAACGGG
rnacentral:rRNA from 1 species